rnacentral:rRNA from 1 species
GACGAACGCUGGCGGCGUGCUUAACACAUGCAAGUCGAACGGAAAGGCCCUGCUUUUGUGGGGUGCUCGAGUGGCGAACGGGUGAGUAACACGUGAGUAAUCUGCCCUUGACUUUGGGAUAACUUCAGGAAACUGGGGCUAAUACCGGACAGGUGCUCCUGCUGCAUGGUGGGGGUUGGAAAGUUUCGGCGGUUGGGGAUGGACUCGCGGCUUAUCAGCUUGUUGGUGGGGUAGUGGCUUACCAAGGCUUUGACGGGUAGACGGCCUGAGAGGGUGACCGGCCACAUUGGGACUGAGAUACGGCCCAGACUCCUACGGGAGGCAGCAGUGGGGAAUAUUGCACAAUGGGCGGAAGCCUGAUGCAGCAACGCCGCGUGCGGGAUGACGGCCUUCGGGUUGUAAACCGCUUUCGCCUGUGACGAAGCGUGAGUGACGGUAAUGGGUAAAGAAGCACCGGCUAACUACGUG